GGGUCUGUUUUUUGGAAUUCGACAGGCUGUUUAGAGCAUUGGCUGCGUUUCGCCGUCCGGGCGUUAAACGGGCAGACAUUUUAACUGCAAAAAAUGAAAACUCUUACGCAAUCGCUGCUUAAAAACCAGCAAUACGUAGCUUAAUCUUGGUUUCUGACGUCUGAGGUUAGGCCAUAAAAGGUCAGAUCGCAUUGUUGUUUACAUCUGGAAGGGCAAUGUUAAAUUUAUCAGAUUAGUUAAUUUGAUUAGCCGUGUGUUAUGGCGUACAAGUUAAUGAAAUUCAAAUGAUAACACUAUAAGCGUAGGCGCCUGUGUAUCGGACGGUUUGGACAGGGGUUCGACUCCCCUCAGAUCCAUUU
rfam:Leuconostoc pseudomesenteroides PS12 contig_065, whole genome shotgun sequence.